GAGUAUCAGGAGUACCCAGUGA
rnacentral:miRNA from 1 species